GAGCAUGGCCUCAAGCUCCGAAGAGCCCGAGCAAGCUCUUCGGAGUCAUUUCAGGCUUGCUUUCAGGCAGCAAACACUGGCAAGUGCUCGUUGGGGGUGGGGGGAGAAUCCUAGUAGCCUGGGCGGGGUUGCUUGUUCCCAUUUGCAACCACUGUGGCUGCCUGCCCUGCUGGCUCUGGCUUCCUGCAAUCUAUUCAGCUUCUGUUCUUGCUGCAAGUGACCCACCCCAGAGUCCAACGUGAGAUGAGAAGGAAAUUUAAGCAGAGUAACAAGCUUCCUAUAGAACAUGGUUCCUCUGCGGUGGGCUGCAGUUUAUUGAUUUUGAAAAGAGAGCUGCUUCUAUUCUUCAAGAACAGGAAUGAACAAAAGGCUUCUCAAAGGACUGGUCUCCUCUGACCAUGCAAAAUGAGGAAGAAGAAGAGCAAAUACAAGAGAAUCAGUUGACUCCUGGCCCAUUUUAGUCUUUCUCCUUCCCAUGAUUUCUCUUAGGGGUGUUUACAGUUUGGACCAUUUGACCCUGAAGAAGGGUUUUGUGAGCCCAAUAGUUGUGGGCUUUCCUUUUUCUUUUCCACUAAUAUGAUGGCCUAGCAAAAGAACCACUUGCACUUAUUCUCUGUCCAUUAUUGUGUGGUACUAACACUACCUUAAAUACAUAUUAAAGCUAUGCUUUCUGACCCUUUAUUUGUACCCCAAACCUACCUGAGGUUUGGGCUGCAACUACAUUUCAAAACACAGCUUUUAUGCUGGACUUUAAAUAGAGUUGCCACUCAGCUGAUUCUGAAACCAGUUAUCUAAAUGUUCCCUUCUUUUGCCAGUCUGUUUUUUUAGCUCAAGCUAUUCAAUACCUAUUUUUACAUUUUGUUUAUAUUUAUGUAUGCAAAUGAGCAAUAGCCUUCUGCAAGAGUGGAUAGCAACCCUGCACUCAAAUGUGUACAGCAGGGGUUUUAUGGCUGUCAAGGAUUGAAAAUGAGAAAUAUAAAAAUGUUGCUUAUGUAAUGCCUCUUACACGAGACAUGAUUUGGGACAUAUUUAUUUGAUACACAAUUUCAUAUGUGUUUAUAUUUAUUCAAAAGAAAACUCAGAGCAGAUAACAAAGACAACAACCAAUCAAUACCGCAAUAUAAAAUUAGCAAACAAUAUAAAAAUUAUCUUUAAAAAUAACAAAUCUUAUUAGUUUCCAGUAUCCAAAAACAUAGCAGCAGCAGCCCAUCUCAUGGGUAUGUCAUGUAGCAGAUCCAUAUUUCAGGUAUAGAUGGGUGUAUAAAUAAGUAAAGAGGUUUAUUUGCUUUUUAAAAACUUUUAAAAGUUAAAAGCAUAUGGAACCAUUUUGUGAAUCCUUACACAGAGAGCCCCUGUUUUUGCUGAAAACAGCAGUUCUUAUUUUGCACACUAUUUGCACACUUAUUUUUCACACAGUCAAAACAAUUAGGUCAUUUGCCCCUGAUCUUACUUUUGUUUUGAAUUGGGAGGAGUGAAAGACUGAAAUCCUUUAAGGCAUGAAACAGUGUGCAGAGAGAGAGAGAGAGAGAGAAGGAAAACAUCUUGAGUGGUUACUGAAACGGAUUUGAGGACACCUGGAUGGAGAAGUCAACCUUUGAAUCAUUUCUUCAGCAAGCCCUCUAAGAGAGAGAAAGAAAUAGAUUUGUAUUAUGCAACUUGCUUUUUGGAACUUUUGACUUUUGCUAUUGCUACUGCUAUUGCUUUCUGAAACUAUACAACUUCUUCUUAAAGUUAUGUAUCUUGACAUCAUGUCAGUGCUUGAGUUUUGUACUUUUCUUUAAAUUAAUAUGCCCUGGCCUAAUGCCAACAUUUAUUUUGUUUGUUAACUGACAAAUAAAGAGAUUUAU